rnacentral:rRNA from 1 species
UACAGAGGUCUCAAGCGUUGUUCGGAUUCAUUGGGCGUAAAGGGUGCGUAGGCGGCGCCGUAAGUCAGGUGUGAAAUUUCGGAGCUUAACUCCGAAACUGCAUUUGAUACUGCGGUGCUUGAGGACUGGAGAGGAGACUGGAAUUUACGGUGUAGCAGUGAAAUGCGUAGAGAUCGUAAGGAAGACCAGUGGCGAAGGCGGCGAUCUGGGAAGAUACUGACGCUGAGGUGCGAAAGCGUGGGGAGCAAACAGG